rnacentral:rRNA from 1 species
GGGCCCUUCGGGGUCAGCGGCAGACGGGUGAGUAACGCGUGGGAACGUGCCCUUCGGUUCGGAAUAACUCAGGGAAACUUGAGCUAAUACCGGAUACGCCCUUAUGGGGAAAGGUUUAUCUGCCGAAGGAUCGGCCCGCGUCUGAUUAGCUAGUUGGUGAGGUUACGGCUCACCAAGGCGACGAUCAGUAGCUGGUCUGAAAGGAUGAUCAGCCACACUGGGACUGAAACACGGCCCAAACUCCUACGGGAGGCAGCAGUGGGGAAUAUUGGACAAUGGGGGCAACCCUGAUCCAGCCAUGCCGCGUGAGUGAUGACGGCCUUAGGGUUGUAAAGCUCUUUUCUCCGGGACGAUAAUGACGGUACCGGAGGAAUAAGCCCCGGCUAACUUCGUGCCAGCAGCCGCGGUAAUACAAAGGGGGCUAGCGUUGCUCGGAAUCACUGGGCGUAAAGGGCGCGUAGGCGGCUGAUUUAUUCGAGGGUGAAAGCCCGUGGCUCAACCACGGAAUUGCCUUCAAUACUGGUUGGCUUGAGACCGGAAAAGGACAGCGGAACUGCGAGUGUAGAGGUGAAAUUCGUAGAUAUUCGCAAGAACACCAGUGGCGAAGGCGGCUGUCUGGUCCGGUUCUGACGCUGAGGCGCGAAAGCGUGGGGAGCAAACAGGAUUAGAUACCCUGGUAGUCCACGCUGUAAACGAUGAAUGCUAGCCGUUGGGGUGCAUGCACUUCAGUGGCGC